UACGUAGGGGGCAAGCGUUGUCCGGAUUUAUUGGGCGUAAAGAGCGUGUAGGCGGUUUGGUAGGUCCGCUGUGAAAACUCGAGGCUCAACCUCGAGACGCCGGUGGAAACCAUCAGACUAGAGUCCGGAAGAGGAGAGUGGAAUUCCUGGUGUAGCGGUGAAAUGCGCAGAUAUCAGGAGGAACACCGGUGGCGAAGGCGGGUCUCUGGGCAACUACUGACGCUGAGGAGCGAAAGCGUGGGGAGCGAACAGG
rnacentral:rRNA from 1 species